rnacentral:lncRNA from 1 species
UUUUUUUUUUGUAUCAAGGCUGUGAAUUGUUUUGAUUUUGUUUACAUAUGUAUAUUGGGGUUUGAUUGUUGGUCUCUUGCCAACAUUUUUGGCAAUUAUGUUCUUUUUUUGAUAAGAAAAAUGGUAGAAUAUUCAAUGUUAUUGCUUUAAUUCUUUAAAGAAUUUGAUGUUAUGGUUAUUCACAUAUCGUAGUUGUAAGAACUCUUGAAACACGAUUUUCUUUAUCGUGCAUUGAUCCACGCCUUUAGGGCCAGUGAUUUUUACACUAAUUGGAAUUUUUUUUUUCACACCAAAGCUUUGAUAAAUACACAGCCUAAGUUCUAUAGCCAGACACAUCUUGGAGAUCUACCAAGAAAUGCAUAUAAUAUUAUAAUUCUAAAGGGGCUUUAGUCUCUAGCAACCUUUGAAUCAUUUCUCUCUGUCAUGCCCAAAUAGCAUAGACUAAAGUGGAAUAAUUUUACAGAACGAAAGAAGCUAAAAGGAAGACCGUUGAUACCAAAUAUUUUGCCAUCUCAGAACUCUCUCUCAAGCCUAAAGGCAAAAGUCUGACCAUAUUAUAACAAGUAUUAAAAAAUUUAGACCGAAAUUGAGCACGCGAGGCUCAUAAUUGGUCCCUGUAGUUUGUCCAUAGUUUUCGAAAGCUUUCA